GAUGAACGCUGGCGGCGUGCCUAAUACAUGCAAGUCGAGCGAAUGGAUUAAGAGCUUGCUCUUAUGAAGUUAGCGGCGGACGGGUGAGUAACACGUGGGUAACCUGCCCAUAAGCCUGGGAUAACUCCGGGAACCCGGGGCUAAUACCGGAUCACAUUUUGAACAGCAUGGUUCGAAAUCGAACGGCGGCUUCGGCUGUCACUUAUGGAUGGACCAGUGUCGCAUUAGCACGUGUGUGAGGUACCGGCUCACCAAGGCAACGAUGCGUAGCCGACCUGAGAGUGUGAGCAGCCACACUGGGACUGAGACACGGCCCAGACGCCUACGGGGGGCAGCAGUAGGGGAUCUGCCGGAAUGGACGAAAGUCUGACGGAGCAACGCCGCGUGAGUGAUGAAGGCUUUCGGGUCGUAAAACUCUGUUGUUAGGGAAGAACAAGUGCUAGUUGAAUAAGCUGGCACCUUGACGGUACCUAACCAGAAAGCCACGGCUAACUACGUGCCAGCCGCCGCGGUAA
rnacentral:rRNA from 1 species